AUCUUGGUCAUAUAGUGUUG
rnacentral:miRNA from 1 species